rnacentral:rRNA from 1 species
CCUACGGGAGGCAGCAGUGGGGAAUCUUGCGCAAUGGGGGAAACCCUGACGCAGCAACGCCGCGUGGGUGAUGAAGGCCUUCGGGUCGUAAAGCCCUGUCAGGUGGAAAGAAAUGUGUGGAUGCGAAUAACAUCCUCACUUGACGGUACCACCGGAGGAAGCACCGGCUAACUCCGUGCCAGCAGCCGCGGUAAUACGGAGGGUGCAAGCGUUGUUCGGAAUUAUUGGGCGUAAAGCGCGUGUAGGUGGUUGGGCAAGUCAGAUGUGAAAGCCCUCCGCUUAACGGAGGAAGUGCAUUUGAAACUGCCCAGCUAGAGUACGGGAGAGGAGAGUGGAAUUCCCGGUGUAGAGGUAAAAUUCGUAGAGAUCGGGAGGAACACCAGUGGCGAAGGCGGCGUCCUGGCCGACACCUGACGCUGAAGCGCGAAAGCGUGGGGAGCGAACGGGAUUAGAUACCCCGGUAGU